rnacentral:tRNA from 1 species
GUCGGCCGCGGGCUGCGGCUCACGGCCGCCGGCGUCGCGCUCGCCGAGGCGGCGGUCGACGUCGCCGUCGCGCUCGAGCGUGCCCGGUCGGCCGUCG